rnacentral:lncRNA from 1 species
AAAUUUGCAUAAUUUUUUUUAGAAUUCACCAUCGGCAAUGACAAGCAGGCGAGUCGAUCUACAGCGACGACAUUUGUUGGUGAGAACUUGGAAAAUUUUAAUUUAUUUCUCAUAUUAUGGACAAUUAAUUUUUUUUAAGGUGAUGAUUUCUAUAUCUUUACAGAAGUGGAAAUGCAGGGGAUUGAAGUGGAAGUCUUCUCUAUUUCACGCUCUAUCCAUCGAAAAUAGAGACGCAUAGAGACACAUUUUCCUAGGUAAAUUUGAGUUUUCAGCCCUGAUUUCUAAUUUUUUUUAUUGUAAAUGUAAAUUUCUACGAUUUAAGAUGUGUGAAUCAAUUGUUGAAGAUUGUUCAAUAUUUUGUAUUUUUUUGGAAGCUUCAGUAUUUUGUAGUGUUUUUUUUUUUUUUUAGGAACAGUAUUUUGUAGUUUUAAGUAUUCAUAUCCUCACACUUUUGACGUCGUUGGCGUUGCCGCUCCACCCAAUUUUGUCAAGCACGUUACCGAGUCACAUAACCUCGUCGCCACCACUGUAACAGUCCAGUGCCUAAAAGAGCAGUUUAACCGUCACUAUCGGCCGGAAUAACCACCCUUGCCUUUGUCUCACCGAACAACCCAGCAACCACCAUCACCUUUUCCUUUUUCUUUUUUUCCCUUUAAUUUCUUAGUUAUGCUAAAUAUAGGGCUAUGCAUGUUUGUAUAUUGGUGAAUUUUAGAGGAGUGUAUAUUGGUGAAUUUUAGAGAAGGUUUUAGAUAUAUUCUUCAACAAAUGCUAGAUUAAAUUGUUUCGUGUACAUCGCCAAUAACAUAUAACCACAUAUCUUUGUAGUUUCAUGUCAUGUUAAUCAAAUCAUUCAUUUAGACGUUUAUAGUGGUAUGAUUCUUUUUAGAUAAUCAAUCAUUAUGCCUUUGUAGAUAUUAUUUAUUUCCAAGAUUCAAUUUCUAAAGUUCAAAACCUAUUCUUUUGAAGUUGAUGCUACUAUAUAUGUGAGAAAUUGAUUUGAAGGCGGAUGAGGAGAAGAAUAUGGGGUUACUCUCAAAUUUGGCUUAUGCUUUGACAAUGGACUAUAUUUUUGCAAAGGAGCUCUUAUGGAAAUAAAGGCUGAGCAACCAAGAAAGCCUAGAGCAGAUCUGUUAGUUUCUCAAUGAUAACUGUUUAGUGCUCAACGAUUUCAACUUUAGAGAUGAGUUGCUUCUCCUUUUAUGAAUUAUGUUUGUAGACCACAUAGAACCACUAUUAUACAGGGAGAAAUGUUGUUGUUUUGUAUUGAUUAUUGCUUAGUUGGUGCUUAAUUUAUAGAAAAGGCUAUGCAUUUGUUUUUCUCUUUAAAAUUUUGAAAUAAAACAAUCAAAGAUUUAUAUAUUACAUAUUUCUCGCGUCUUCUCUCUUUCAGCUUGCCUUC